UACGUAGGAGGCGAGCGUUGUCCGGAGUUACUGGGCGUAAAGGGUGCGCAGGCGGCGGUUCGCGUGGAUAGGUGAAAUCUCCUGGCUUACCUGGGAGGAUGGUAUCCAGACGGGAUCGCUUGAGGGUCGGAGAGGGGCGUGGAAUUCCGGGUGGAGCGGUGAAAUGCGUAGAGAUCCGGAGGAACACCGACGGCGAAGGCAGCUCGCUGGGACGUGACUGACGCUGAGACGCGAAAGCGUGGGGAGCAAACAGG
rnacentral:rRNA from 1 species